GAUGAACGCUAGCUACAGGCUUAACACAUGCAAGUCGAGGGGCAGCAUGAUUGAAGCUUGCUUCAAUCGAUGGCGACCGGCGCACGGGUGAGUAACACGUAUCCAACCUGCCGAUAACUCGGGGAUAGCCUUUCGAAAGAAAGAUUAAUACCCGAUAGUAUAGUAUUUCCGCAUGGUUUCACUAUUAAAGAACUUCGGUUAUCGAUGGGGAUGCGUUCCAUUAGAUAGUUGGCGGGGUAACGGCCCACCAAGUCAACGAUGGAUAGGGGUUCUGAGAGGAAGGUCCCCACAUUGGAACUGAGACACGGUCCAAACUCCUACGGGAGGCAGCAGUGAGGAAUAUUGGUCAAUGGACGAGAGUCUGAACCAGCCAAGUAGCGUGAAGGAUGACUGCCCUAUGGGUUGUAAACUUCUUUUAUACGGGAAUAAAGUGGAGUAUGCAUACUCCUUUGUAUGUACCGUAUGAAUAAGGAUCGGCUAACUCCGUG
rnacentral:rRNA from 1 species